rnacentral:rRNA from 1 species
AUUGAACGCUGGCGGCAGGCUUAACACAUGCAAGUCGAGCGGGGAAAAGUAGCUUGCUACUGGACCUAGCGGCGGACGGGUGAGUAAUGCUUAGGAGUCUGCCUAUUAGUGGGGGACAACAUCUCGAAAGGGAUGCUAAUACCGCAUACGUCCUACGGGAGAAAGCAGGGGACCUUCGGGCCUUGCGCUAAUAGAUGAGCCUAAGUCGGAUUAGCUAGUUGGUGGGGUAAAGGCCUACCAAGGCGACGAUCUGUAGCGGGUCUGAGAGGAUGAUCCGCCACACGGGGACUGAGACACGGCCCAGACUCCUACGGGAGGCAGCAGUGGGGAAUAUUGGACAAUGGGGGGAACCCUGAUCCAGCCAUGCCGCGUGUGUGAAGAAGGCCUUUUGGUUGUAAAGCACUUUAAGCGAGGAGGAGGCUACCGAGAUUAAUACUCUUGGAUAGUGGACGUUACUCGCAGAAUAAGCACCGGCUAACUCUGUGCCAGCAGCCGCCGUAAUAC